GACGAACGCUGGCGGCGUGCCUAAUACAUGCAAGUCGAACGCUUCUUUCCUCCCGAGUGCUUGCACUCAAUUGGAAAGAGGAGUGGCGGACGGGUGAGUAACACGUGGGUAACCUACCCAUCAGAGGGGGAUAACACUUGGAAACAGGUGCUAAUACCGCAUAACAGUUUAUGCCGCAUGGCAUAAGAGUGAAAGGCGCUUUCGGGUGUCGUUGAUGGAUGGACCCGCGGUGCAUUAGCUAGUUGGUGAGGUAACGGCUCACCAAGGCCACGAUGCAUAGCCGACCUGAGGGGGUGAUCGGCCACACUGGGACUGAGACACGGCCCAGACUCCUACGGGAGGCAGCAGUAGGGAAUCUUCGGCAAUGGACGAAAGUCUGACCGAGCAACGCCGCGUGAGUGAAGAAGGUUUUCGGAUCGUAAAACUCUGUUGUUAGAGAAGAACAAGGACGUUAGUAACUGAACGUCCCCUGACGGUAUCUAACCAGAAAGCCACGGCUAACUACGUG
rnacentral:rRNA from 1 species